rnacentral:sRNA from 1 species
UUUUUUUUUAGAAAGAGUUGAUGCCCAGUUGCCCCCCUGCCCCCAGAUUUGUAUACAGCAAGAGUUGAGAAUCACUGCUUAGAAUAUAUCUGCUUAUAAUAAGUCGGUAGGUCUUAACAUUUUUGUAAGUCUUAGUCAAUCUGGAAGACUUGCUAUAGAGUGCUGGGCCCCUUCCUCAGAGUUUGAUUCAGUAGGUCUGGGUUGGGACCUGAGAAUUUUCAUUUUUAUCGUAUUUCUAGAGAAACAUGGUUUCUCUAGAAUCACAUGUCUCAGAAACAUUCUUUUUUUUUUUUUUUUUUUUUUGAGAUGGAGUCUUGGUCUGUCACCCAGGCUGUAGUACAGUGGCAUGAUCUCGGCUCACUGCAACCUCUACCUUCCGGGUUCAAGUGAUUCUCCUGCCUCAGCCUCCCGAGUAGCUGGGAUUACAGGUGCCUGCCACCAUGCCUGGCUAAUUUUUGUAUUUUUAGUAGAGACGGGGUUUCACCAUGUUGGCCAGGCUGGUCUUGAACUCCUGACCUCAGGUGAUCGCCUGCCUCAGUCUCCCAAAGUGCUGGGAUUACAGGUGUGAGCCAUCGUGCCCGGCCAGAAACAUGGUUCUGCGAACCGCAGUAGCAGUAGGUGUAGGAAGGAAAGUUUGGAUGUUAGAUACAGGUUGGUUUGGAGAUUUGCUCCUAGGAAGUUUAAGGAGUUCUUUUCUCAUGAUGUUGCUUUCUCUCUAAUAUACAGAAAGGGUCUUCACCAAGAGUGUUGCUUGAGUAAUAAUGGUGUUCAGAAAAGUCCAAGAUUUCAGGAUUCUUAGUUAAAUAACUUAAGCAAGUUGACUGUUUUUCUUGAUACAUCAAUUCCUUUUUUUUUUCACCUGAUGAAAAAGCUCUUUGAAUUUUAAUUUUGUCAGGUAGUGAAUAUUUACUGUCCUCUUUUGUCACUGUAGAUGAAUAUUCUUUCUAUAUCUUUGUACAUGUUACUGGUAAAUUUGCCAAUAGGAUAGAUUUUGGUAGUACAUUCUCUUUUCACAACAUCAUCAUCAUUAGCGGUCUUGGGGUAAAAUUAAUUGUAUACAUUCUUCUACAUAUAGUAGCAAAUUGUAUUAGUGUAGUCCUAUUGGUUGUAGGUCAGUCUUUUUUCAGGUUGUCGGUUGUCUCAAGGAAGGAUGGUUUAUUGUAAAUGUAUACGUGAAAAGCGAAAUGGUUAUCUCCACUAUUAUGUGGGAGGAGGCAGCAUAGUGUAAUGGAUUGAACCCGACACCCUAGUUUCAAAUUCAAUCUAAUUUAGUCUUUAUGUGUAAAAAUCAAGACAGUAACUACAUUGUAAAGUUGUUUGACUGAAAUGAGAUAAUAGAGGUGAGAAUGCCUGAUAAAUUUUAAUGGAACUAUACAAACGUUGGGUGGCAUUUUACAUGCAUAUAAAAUGACAUCUCUGCUGAUUCUGUAAUUGACAAAUAUAAAACUAACGGAUGAAACAAAAUUUAUAAAAGUAAAGUGGAUAUAGGCUUUACUUUGAUGCUUUUUGCGUGGUAUACGUAUUCUAUACUAUCUUUGGCUCCUGUGUUUCAGUUCUCAAUGUUUUCAGCUAUUGAUCGUUUGUAUGGUAGAAUUAGCCAUCUUCUACCCUACUGCUACAAUAACCCCUCAAAAACAAAAACAAAAACAACCGUUAGGUUGAUAAGUAUCUAAUGUAUCUACAACUUAAUUAAAUUGAAGGGAAAUAGCAUGAGACAUAAUUUUUCUUUUUUGCCUAUCUAUUAAUAGACCAAGUUAGGGUGCAUCACCAAGAUGAGGGUACAUUAGCUCUAAAGAUGAGGAUUCUCUUUGUAUUUGAAUGCUUAUGAAAAUGUUAUUUAUUUCUAACAACUUCUCAUAUGUAAGGGAACUUUAUAUAUGCUUUGAAAAAAAUGGAUACUAUUUUUUGAAUAUUUAGUCCGCAGUGAUGAAAUAGGUUAUUUUUAUAUACCUUGUGUUUGUGAGAUGUUUUACCUUUUACGAAAUGAAGAGAACAUAGAAUGUUGUUUCUGUUCUAAACUGUUAAAGUUAAUAGAGCUUUGUUGGGCACAUACUGCCUGAUGAUGAUACAGGGAUGUAAUAUGUAGGGGAAUGAAGAUGUUGUCCUGUCAUUUGGAUUCCAUGUGCGUAGGUUGAUGUGUCAGUCAUUUCAAGCAUAUUAAAUUGGAUAAUAUAUCUUUUUAAAAUAGACAGUCUCAGUGGGUUCACUGUGUUUUAACUAUUCACGACAGCAUGGAAUUAUAACCCUUAUUCUCUAUGAUAGAGUUAAGCAGUUAUAAACCAUAUAUAACUGAUAUGUUUCACAAGUGCAUGAUAGCUUAUUGUGAUCAAUUUUGUUGUGUAUUGGUUAUUGGAAUUUGACAGUUAAAAAGUUCUAUGAAAUUAUCAUUGAUAUGGGAAGUUUUUUCAGAAUUUCUGUGAACAUUUGAAUUUACUGAGUUUUUCAUCCUUAUUUUUCUUUCUUAUGUACAUCUUAAGGACUGGGGUUUUAAGGGGUGUGGCAGGAGGUUUUGGACUCGAUGAGUUUCCACCGAAAUGUCGGAGAAGUCAGGCCAGAGCACAAAAGCAAAGGAUGGGAAAAAGUAUGCAACACUCAGUUUAUUUAAUACUUACAAGGGGAAAUCAUUAGAAACACAGAAAACCACAGGUGAGUAAAAUCAAGUGACACUUAUGUUUUUCAUGGUUUGUUUUGUUACUAUAAGUGAUACACCUGCUGCUAUGAGAAGCUAGGAUGUACCCAAGUUAAUACAACGCUAUUUACAUUUGCCUUUUUAUGCAUGCACACAUUUUUCAGAGGAUAUGUGAUAAACAUCUUAUAAUUGAAAAUUUAUACUUUCAUAGAGCCCUUUAAAAAUAUUUUUGUUUUUCUCUGUUGUCAGCAGAAAAAAGGUAGAACUGUAUGGCUCUAAAGGGGAAACUCAGUCAAUGAGAUUGAUAGGCACAGACCUAUAUAUUAGUGGGAAUUUAGUAUCUUUUUAAUUAUAGACUAGAGAAAGUCUUAUGUUUCGUGUGUGGGGGUGUGUGUGCGUGUGUGUUAGAUACUGUGACCUAGUGAAUAUAGUGAAAACUGAAAAUCAUGCAUGGCAUAUUAACAGUAUUCUUUAUGAACAUACAGUCAAUGCAUUUAUUCUCUAACAUUCUAAGUUUUGAGUUUGAAAUAGAUUCUCUGAAAAAAUAUCAGUAUUAUCAAUGUUUUCUGUAGUGUGUUGAAUUGCAUUGUUAAAAUUUUUAAGGAAUCUGUUAAAUGCUGUUAAAUGGCUUGAUUUCUACACUGAAAUUUGUUGCAGGUGUGUAGCUUAGUUUUAAAAUUAUUAUUUUAAAAUACAUGAAUGAAAAUCAUUCAGGGAUUGCAUUAAAUCCUAUUGUUUUUCUAUAUUGUUUGAGGAAUAAAAUGGGUAAUAAAAUAGAUGUUCUAAGAAAGUUGAUGUUAUUGAUCUUUAGUUGCAGCUCGACAUGGAUUACAGAGUCUUGGAAAAGUCGGUAUUUCACGGCGUAUGCCUCCACCUGCUAACCUCCCAAGUCUUAAAGCAGAAAACAAAGGCAAUGAUCCUAAUGUAAACAUUGUACCUAAAGAUGGCACAGGGUGGGCAUCAAAACAAGAGCAACAUGAAGAAGAAAAAACACCAGAAGUGCCACCAGCACAGCCAAAACCUGGGGUUGCAGCUCCCCCAGAAGUAGCACCUGCUCCCAAAUCAUGGGCCAGUAACAAGCAAGGAAUCCAAGUGAAUAGUCAGUUUCAGCAAGAAUUUCCCAGCCUGCAGGCAGCUGGGGAUCAGG